rnacentral:rRNA from 1 species
ACGAACGCUGGCGGCGUGCUUAACACAUGCAAGUCGAGCGGUAAGGCCCUUUCGGGGGUACACGAGCGGCGAACGGGUGAGUAACACGUGGGUGACCUGCCCUUAGCUCUGGGAUAAGCCUGGGAAACUGGGUCUAAUACCGGAUAUGACUCCAUGACGCAUGUUGUGGGGUGGAAAGCCUUGUGCGGCUAGGGAUGGGCCCGCGGCCUAUCAGCUUGUUGGUGGGGUGAUGGCCUACCAAGGCGACGACGGGUAGCCGGCCUGAGAGGGCGACCGGCCACACUGGGACUGAGACACGGCCCAGACUCCUACGGGAGGCAGCAGUGGGGAAUCUUGCGCAAUGGGCGAAAGCCUGACGCAGCGACGCCGCGUGGGGA